rnacentral:rRNA from 1 species
UACGUAGGGAGCAAGCGUUGUCCGGAAUCAUUGGGCGUAAAGCGCGCGUAGGUGGCUCCGUAAGUCCGUUGUGAAAGUCAAAGGCUCAACCUUUGAAAGCCGAUGGAUACUGUGGAGCUAGAGUACGGAAGAGGCGAGUGGAAUUCCUGGUGUAGCGGUGGAAUGUGCAGAUAUCGGGAAGAACACCCGUGGCGAAGGCGGCUCUCUGGGACGGUACUGACGCUGAGACGCGAAAGCGUGGGGAGCGAACAGG